UGUGUCACUGUCGCCUCGGGUCUGGGUAGAGGGGGGAAAAAAGGGGCGGGAAUGUCUUGCCCUUUAAAUCCUAACCGCGUUGCUAUUGGCUAGGAAGCCUCCGGCCUGGCUGCGGAUUGGCCACAGUGGAGGGCUUGAAAUGUGGCUGGGCGCUUCGGACACCUCAGACGGACGGUGGCCACCCCAAGACGCGCCCCAGCCCGCCAUGGCCCGGAUCCUUCGGGCAUCCUGCCUCCUGUCCCUGCUCCUGGCCGGGUUUGUUCCGCCGGGCCGGGGACAAGAGAAGUCCAAGACAGACUGCCAUGGCGGUAUGAGCGGUACCAUCUACGAGUAUGGAGCCCUUACCAUCGAUGGGGAGGAAUACAUUCCUUUUAAGCAGUAUGCUGGCAAAUACAUCCUCUUUGUCAACGUAGCCAGCUACUGAGGUCUGACAGACCAAUACCUUGAACUGAAUGCACUACAAGAAGAACUUGGCCCAUUCGGCCUGGUCAUUCUGGGCUUCCCUUGCAACCAAUUUGGCAAACAGGAGCCAGGCGAGAACUCGGAGAUCCUGCCUAGUCUCAAGUACGUUCGACCGGGUGGGGGCUUUGUGCCUAAUUUCCAGCUCUUUGAGAAAGGAGACGUGAACGGGGAGAAAGAGCAGAAGUUCUACACUUUCCUGAAGAACUCCUGCCCUCCCACUGCGGAACUCCUGGGCUCACCUGGCCGCCUCUUUUGGGAACCCAUGAAGAUCCAUGACAUCCGCUGGAACUUUGAGAAGUUCCUGGUGGGGCCAGAUGGCAUACCAAUUAUGCGCUGGUACCACCGGACCACAGUCAGCAACGUCAAGAUGGACAUCCUGUCCUAUAUGAGGCGGCAGGCAGCCCUGGGGGCCAGAGGGAAGUAACUGAUGCCCUACCCCACCCCACCCCAUCCCCUGCCCAUCAUGCAAGGGCUGGGGAGGGGCUCUUCAGGAAGGAAGCAAAAAACGGAAUCAUUCUACACAUACAUCCCAGAUUCCCUUCCUUAUUACAUAAAAGACAAGCUUGGCACAACUGUGUGCCUGUACCACUGUGCACACGUGGCAACUGUCCCACUGUGUGCCAUGCACUGCCUGCCUGGAACCCAGGGACAGACCAUCUGUGCUCACGGUUUGGUACAACACCUUCACACUUUCUCCAGCUUCCCGUUCCAAAUGAGCCCAAAGCAAACACAAGUUCUAAGUCCAAUGGUCCUGCUCAAACCUGAACAUCAUUCUUGGGGCCAGCAUCUCCCAUAUGCCCACAUGACACAUCCGGGCUCACUAUGCCACCAGCCUCCUUCAUCCCUCCUGAAGGACCCUCCUAAGUCUCCAACCCCAUCCCACAGUGCUCCUGAGAAGAGCCGAGACAAUGGUGAGCACGAUGGCCAUGUGCUCCAAGUCAGGGGUGGUGUCUCCAUGAAGGAGGGGCCCGAAGCCCUUGUGGGCGGGCCUCCCCUGAGCCCGUCUGUGGUGCCAGCCCUUAGUGCAUUCAGGCUUAGGCUCCCAGGCAGGGACACCAUCCCCCUCUCUGGAGGACAUGCCUUCUUCUCACUCUGUCCACUGGCAUCUCUCGCACCCCAUCUGCCCAAUAAACGUCUUUCUGCAGCAGUUCUGCCUACUUGAAAUUUUCUCAAUGGUGGGAGGUGGAGAUUGGAGAUGGAGACAAGGGAGGGUAAAGGAAGAGACAGACACAGGGCGUGCUUUGGGGCCCACACUGCAGCCUUUGCCCAGCUACUGAGUCUGUGACCCAGUUCCCAUCAGCGUGUCCUCACCCACCUUCCCCAGGGCAUUGAGGGCUGAGAGGGUGUCGUUUCUACCCCCAGUCCUUUGCCUAGGAUCUUCCCACCACAACUGGGUUCCCCUAACACGCUAGCAGCAUUCUCAGGGCUAUGCGGGAAAGGGGUGCUGAAGUAGGACCAGAACCAUGACCACAAGGGCAUAAAAAAAU
rnacentral:lncRNA from 1 species